rnacentral:snRNA from 1 species
GGAUUGUGGAUGGUUGUGCUGUCACCCACUGAUCGCCAGGGCUGAUGAGGUGUCCCCUUCCUUGCUGGUCCAUGUGUCCCUCCCAAAGCUUUGAGCUCUGUGGAAAGAGGAUGAUCACCCCCCAGGGAGGAAGACCAUUUCUUAGUCAAGGGGGAUGUUGUGCUCCCUGCUGGAACCUCUGCACAACCUCUCAAAAGGGAUGGAUUCCGAUGACUUAAAUGUCAGCUCUGGGUAAAGCUGCAGAUGGUUUGAGCAUUGCUCU